rnacentral:rRNA from 1 species
UGAGCCAAGUUUAGGGUUUUCUCAAAACCCAAGCAGUAUUGAACUGAAGAGUUUGAUCAUGGCUCAGAUUGAACGCUGGCGGCAGGCCUAACACAUGCAAGUCGAGCGGAUGAAGGGAGCUUGCUCCUGGAUUCAGCGGCGGACGGGUGAGUAAUGUCUAGGAAUCUGCCUGGUAGUGGGGGAUAACGUCCGGAAACGG